rnacentral:rRNA from 1 species
AUGGCGGUGGUGGCCACUUUGUAUCACGAGAUGGAGAAGAAUCCAUUUGCUUUUAGCCAUUGUUGGAUCAUAUUGAAUGGAGCCAAAUGGACACAACUUGUGGCCGAUCUCAAGGCCGGCAAGAAGAGGAAUGAUGGCUCAAUGUCCCACCAAUCAAUUGGGUUGGACGGUGAAGAGGACAAUAUUUUCAUCGAGAAUGGAAGAUACACCAUGCCAAAGGAUAACCGGCAAGCCAUGGGAAACAAGUGGGAGAAGGCAAUGGCCUCCCAUGACGGCGCAGCUACAAAAAUGUCCUCCACAUGGACGGGCAUUUUUUUGGCAAGGGAGAACAAGAAAGAGGAGAGGUACAAAUUCAUGUUGGAUGCAAAAGGAGAGGAUGGAUCUGGACCGGAAGAGGGCGAAGAAGAAGCUAGAAAUUGA